UUACUACUCACUCCGUUCCAAAUUACUUGUCGCAAGUAUGAAUGUAUCUAGAUAUAUUUUAGUUCUAGAUACAUCCAUUUCUGUGACGAGUAAUUUGGAACGGAGGGAGUACAUC
rnacentral:pre_miRNA from 1 species